GAGACCCCAGCAGCAGCAGCAGCAGCUGAUGAUGAAGAGAGAGGCAGUGGCAGAGGGGGGGCACCUUUUAUUUCUAUUUUUAAAGGGACAGGACACUAAUUUUACCCCACUUCAACCUUGAAUUGGGGGGGGUGGGGGGAAGGCGGCUGAGUUCCUUCCCCCACCCUCCAGCUCCGAGCCCUGAGAGAGGGAUUGAGCCUGAGAGAGGAGGAGAAGGAGUUUCUUCUUCUUCGAAAACCCCCAUCCACGACUCCUACCCCCUCAGCCCUGCACUCGCCUGCCUUCCGAGCCCCCUCCACCCUCCUUCCCUUUGGCCGUGAGCGGAGGAGAAAAAGCGAGCAGAACCUCUUAGCAACACAGACCCUAGCUGCUGCCGAGGCUGCCGCUGCCGCCUGGCCCUGGCUGGAGACAUCUCCCUACACCCAGGAGCAGCCACUUCCCCAGCUCGCCUCCUCCUUCGCCUCCUCCUCCUCCACUCCCCCCCCUUUAUUACCCUUUGUGUCAUCCUCCACAGCUCCAGGGAAGGCACUCAAAAGUGGGGGGCAGGAAAGACAAUUAUCAGCUUUCCAGUUUUCUAUGGAUAUGAAGAUUUACACCUAGUCAUCAGUGGGACCCCAUGAAGUCAGCCAGAAAGCCUAUAUCCAACUUAUGUAUCUCUGUAAACUCAUCUGUAUUUUGAAUGUAUGUGAAAAAUAGAUUGUACUUAGGUGUUCAUUAAAUAUCCAUGGAGCUUC